CGAACAGGUGAGUAACACGUGAGUAACCUGCCCUCCACUCUGGGAUAAGCACUGGAAACGGUGUCUAAUACCGGAUACGAGCUUCCGCCGCAUGGUGAGGAGCUGGAAAGAAUUUUGGUGGUGGAUGGACUCGCGGCCUAUCAGGUAGUUGGUGAGGUAAUGGCUCACCAAGCCGACGACGGGUAGCCGGCCUGAGAGGGUGACCGGCCACACUGGGACUGAGACACGGCCCAGACUCCUACGGGAGGCAGCAGUGGGGAAUAUUGCACAAUGGGCGAAAGCCUGAUGCAGCAACGCCGCGUGAGGGACGACGGCCUUCGGGUUGUAAACCUCUUUUAGUAGGGAAGAAGCGAAAGUGACGGUACCUGCAGAAAAAGCACCGGCUAACUACGUGCCAGCAGCCGCGGUAAUACGUAGGGUGCAAGCGUUGUCCGGAAUUAUUGGGCGUAAAGAGCUCGUAGGCGGUUUGUCGCGUCUGCUGUGAAAUCCGGAGGCUCAACCUCCGGCCUGCAGUGGGUACGGGCAGACUAGAGUGCGGUAGGGGAGAUUGGAAUUCCUGGUGUAGCGGUGGAAUGCGCAGAUAUCAGGAGGAACACCAAUGGCGAAGGCAGAUCUCUGGGCCGUAACUGACGCUGAGGAGCGAAAGCAUGGGGAGCGAACAGGAUUAGAUACCCUGGUAGUCCAUGCCGUAAACGUUGGGAACUAGGCGUAGGGUCCAUUCCACGGAUUCUGUGCCGCAGCUAACGCAUUAAGUUCCCCGCCUGGGGAGUACGGCCGCAAGGCUAAAACUCAAAGGAAUUGACGGGGGCCCGCACAAGCGGCGGAGCAUGCGGAUUAAUUCGAUGCAACGCGAAGAACCUUACCAAGGCUUGACAUAUACCGGAAAAGUUCAGAAAUGUUCUCCCCGCAAGGUCGGUAUACAGGUGGUGCAUGGUUGUCGUCAGCUCGGGCCGUGAGAUGUUGGGUUAAGUCCCGGAACGAGGCCAACCCUCUGUUCUAUGUUGCCAGCACGUAAUGGUGGGAACUCCAAAGGAGACUGCCGGGGUCCACUCCGAAGGAAGGUGGGGAUGACGUCAAAUCAUCAUGCCCCUUAUGUCAAGGGCUUCACGCCUGCUUCAAUUGCCGGUACAA
rnacentral:rRNA from 1 species